GAAAUGCGAUAAGUAGUGUGAAUUGCAGAAUUCAGUGAAUCAUCGAAUCUUUGAACGCACAUUGCGCCCCUUGGUAUUCCAUGGGGCAUGCCUGUUCGAGCGUCAUUUGUACCCUCAAGCUCUGCUUGGUGUUGGGUGUUUGUCCCGUCUCCGCGCGUGGACUCGCCCCAAAGUGAUUGGCAUCCGGCGUACUGGUCCCGGAGCGCAGCACAUGUCGCGCAAACGAGUGCCUUGGUACGGCGGCGUCCAUAAGCCCCUCUCUCACGCUCUUGACCUCGGAUCAGGUAGGGAUACCCGCUGAACUUAAGC
rnacentral:misc_RNA from 1 species